AACUUUCGGCAAUGGAUCUCCCAUCGAUGAAGAACGCAGCGAAAUGCGAUAAGUAAUGUGAAUUGCAGAAUUCAGUGAAUCAUCGAAUCUUUGAACGCACCUUGCGCCCUUUGGUAUUCCGAAGGGCAUGCCUGUUUGAGUGUCAUUAAAUUCUCAACCUUGCAAGCUUUUUCUAGCUUGCGAGGCUUGGAUGUGAGGGUUUUGCUGGCUUCCUUUAAGUUGGAUGGUCUGCUCCCUUUAAAUUCAUUAGUGGGAUCCUUUGUGGAUGGUCACUUGGUGUGAUAAUUAUCUACGCCGCCUGACUCUGAUACAAAACUUGUGGGAACCUGCUUAUAACCGUCUCUUUUUAGAGACACUAUCAUUGACAAUUUGACCUCAAAUCAGGUAGGACUACCCGCUGAACUUAAGCAUAUCAAUAAGCGGAGGCU
rnacentral:misc_RNA from 1 species